rnacentral:rRNA from 1 species
CCUACGGGUGGCAGCAGUGGGGAAUAUUGCACAAUGGGGGAAACCCUGAUGCAGCGACGCCGCGUGAGUGAAGAAGUAAUUCGUUAUGUAAAGCUCUAUCAGCAGGGAAGAAACUGACGGUAGCUGCGUAUGCAUCCCCGGCUAACUACGUGCCGGCAGCCGCGGUAAUACGUAGGGGGCAAGCGUUAUCCGGCUUUACUGGGUGUAAUGGGAGCGUAGACGGCAGUGCAAGUCUGGAGUGAAAGGCAGGGGCUCAACCCCCGGACUGCUCUGGAAACUGUACGGCUGGAGUGCAGGAGAGGCAAGUGGAAUUCCGAGUGUAGCGGUGAAAUGCGUAGAUAUUAGGAGGAACACCAGUGGCGAAGGCGGAUUACUGGACUGUAACUGACGUUGAGGCGCGAAAGCGUGGGGAGCAAACAGGAUUAGAUACCCUAGUAGUC